rnacentral:rRNA from 1 species
UACGUAGGGCGCAAGCGUUGUCCGGAAUUAUUGGGCGUAAAGAGCUCGUAGGCGGCCAGUUGCGUCUGCUGUGAAAUCCCGGGGCUCAACCCCGGGCGUGCAGUGGAUACGGGCUGGCUAGAGGCAGGCAGGGGAGAACGGAAUUCCCGGUGUAGCGGUGAAAUGCGCAGAUAUCGGGAGGAAAACCGGUGGCGAAGGCGGUUCUCUGGGCCUGUACUGACGCUGAGGAGCGAAAGCGUGGGGAGCGAACAGG